rnacentral:tRNA from 1 species
GCGAGGGUGGCGGAAUUGGUAGACGCACUAGACUUAGGAUCUAGCGGGUGACCGUGGGGGUUCGAGUCCCCCCUCUCGCACCA